rnacentral:lncRNA from 1 species
UCGAUACCAACGAGAUCCCAGACAGAUCAAUAGAAUUGCCGUUCUCCGUAGUGGUAGUUGUGGUCAAAAAUACUUCACAACCCUGUCUAAGCAUCCGAUUCACUUGGACUGCUGACACCCCUACUUUCCUUAGAGUCGGACUCAGACUCAGACUUUGGUACUGGAUUGGGUGAGGUCCAGUCUCCAAUUGCACACGAACUUUGUGGCAAUCGAGAGUGGCCCGAUACUUUCCCAAACAGAUUCAUG